rnacentral:rRNA from 1 species
AGGACGAACGCUGGCGGCGUGCUUAACACAUGCAAGUCGAGCGGUAAGGCUCCUUCGGGGGUACACGAGCGGCGAACGGGUGAGUAACACGUGAGCAAUCUGCCCUUCUCUUCGGAAUAACCAUCGGAAACGAUGGCUAAUGCCGAAUACGACCUCCUUUCGCAUGAUCGGAGGUGGAAAGCUCCGGCGGAGAAGGAUGAGCUCGCGGCCUAUCAGCUAGUUGGCGGGGUAACGGCCCACCAAGGCGUCGACGGUAGCCGGCCUGAGAGGGUGACCGGCCACACUGGGACUGAGACACGGCCCAGACUCCUACGGGAGGCAGCAGGUGGGGAAUAGUUGGACAAUGGGACGAAAGCCUAGAUCCAGCAACGCCGCGUGAGGAUGACGGUCCUUCGGGUUAGUAAACCUCUUUCAGCCGAGGACGAAGCGAAAGUCGACGGUACCUGACCAAGAA